GAUUGAACGCUGGCGGUAUGCUUUACACAUGCAAGUCGAACGGGCUAUGGGGCUUGCUCCAUAGUUAGUGGCGAACGGGUGAGUAAUAUAUCGGAACAUAUCCGGAAGUGGGGGAUAACGUAGCGAAAGUUACGCUAAUACCGCAUAUGCCCUGAGGGGGAAAGGGGGGGAUCGCAAGACCUCUCGCUUUCGGAGUGGCCGAUAUCGGAUUAGCUAGUAGGUGAGGUAAAGGCUCACCUAGGCGACGAUCCGUAGCUGGUCUGAGAGGACGACCAGCCACACUGGAACUGAGACACGGUCCAGACUCCUACGGGAGGCAGCAGUGGGGAAUUUUGGACAAUGGGCGCAAGCCUGAUCCAGCAAUGCCGCGUGCAGGAUGAAGGCCUUCGGGUUGUAAACUGCUUUUGUACGGAACGAAAAGACUCCUUCUAAUAAAGGGGGUUCAUGACGGUACCGUAAGAAUAAGCACCGGCUAACUACGUGCCAGCAGCCGCGGUAAUA
rnacentral:rRNA from 1 species